GUGUAGUCAGAAUGACUUUACAUGGGAGAAAUGUUAUUAUCAAGGAUCUAAAAAGUAAUGAAGUUCAAACAGAAACUGAAAAUACAGGCUACUGGUUUUAAAUUUGAUGUUUUAUAUCUAGAGCAAAUGCACAAAACCCAACAGGAGGAACAAACCAAAAAGGCAUGGGAUUUGCUUCAAGCUCUUAAUCUCUAUCAGCCAAUGAAUGCUCUUGCUCACUUUGCUGAUUCUUUCUGACUCUUUUAGGUAGAUCUUUCCAGGAUUCAAGCCCUAUUUAUUUGUCUGUCUCACUUCAUUUUUACUUUCAGCUACUGCUUCUUCAAAUAGCUCUGUCAAAGACCCUUCUAUUUCUAUAGUUAGCAUUUCUGCAUGUUUACAAGCAUGUCCCUAUGCUUGGUUUUAGAAACAGAAGAAGUAUACCAAUGUUCUUCCAAAAGAAGACACUGCUUUUACAUCUGCUCCCAGUGGGGCAACAUACAACAGAUAGAAAGUCAAUUAGGCUGAACUGGAUAUUUGUAUCCAGGUGCAGGUAGUGAGGGCUGCAGGGUUGGCGUUUGUGAAAAGAGGCCAUCGUCUUCUCCAUGUUGGGGACAAGACAUUCCAUCUGGUUCCAGUGGCUCCCAAAUGGCCCACUAAAGGAGACAGUUGAGGCCAUCAGCCACAUGGAACACAGGUGUGGCACCUCUGUGAAAACGUGUUUAAGAAAGAGCAAAAUGCCAGGCAGUACAAUGAGGAGUGAGGAAAAAAGGCAUGAGGAGCAAAGCUGUGAACGGCAAGGUCAGUGAAGACAGAAGAAAAGGGAGAGUUGCUCCAGGUGCCAAGGCAGAAAUUCCACGGCAGCACAUGAAGAGGACCAUGCUGGAUAUCUGCUCUGCAGCACGUGGAGGAUCCCAUAACGGAGCGAGCAGAUAUUUUGAGAAGGAACUGCAGCCUGUGGAGAAUCCACUCUGGAGCAGGGGAAAUACGUGAGGAGGAAGGAGCUGCAGAGAGGAGCAACUUAAACUGGCCCCAAACCUCCAUUACCUACUUCCCUGUUUGGCCCAGUGAAAGAGUGGAGGUAGAGCAAUUGGGAGGGAUGGAGUGAAAUCGAGCUUGUGCAAGAACCGGUAGGGGAUGGUGAUAUUUUAAUUUGUCUUUGUUUCUCACUGUCCAAACCUAAUUUUUUUUUCAAUAAAUUAAAUUAAUUUUCCCCAAGUUGAAUCUCUUUUGCCGAUGAUGUUAACUGGUGAAUGAUCUCCCUAUCUUUACCUUGAUACAUUAGCUUUUUCAUCUUAUUUUCUCCCUCUCUCAUGUACAAGGAGGAUGAGUGAGAGACAGUUUAGCUCAGUGUCUGGAGGCUGGCCAAGGUCAACCAACCACACUAGCAAAUGAGGAAUAUUUGGGCAAUGGUUUUGCCAUGCUUUUGGAAGUACGCUGUUUUGGGUUGCAAUCAUCUAGAGAAUGGAAGAAAAUGGUCAAGACUGAUGAGAGCAAAAAAUGUCAGGAAUGCACUCCCUUGCAAAAAGUAAUACUGUUUGGUGUGGGACACCGUGGCAUUGCUCCAAGUAGGGGCUGCAAAUAUCUGUAGAAAGAAGCUCAAAAGUGGGCUGACACUAAGUGAAUGAGAAGCUAUUAUUAGAUCCCAUUGAAGAUCUUGAAGUAUGGCUGGAAGAAAGUGGAUCCUUAUGGCUAGGGGAUUGUCCAUAUGAAAAUGGCAGCACCUUGGUUCCUCAGUAGAAAAGAAAAGUACCUCUUGAUAGCUUGUAAAAUGUAGGUUUCAUGUGGCACUUCCACACCGAAGACACUGUGUUGCAGAAUUGUACAGUAUGAAUUAGUUUCUCAUCACUCUUUUGCCACUAUGUGCAGCGCACUUCUGAAGCCUACUGUCAAUUCAUUCACUAAGUAUCCAUAUACAUAUACCAUUAUUCAUGUGAUUGAUUCAUUUAAGUAACUCAGUUGGGUAGACCUGUGUGAAACGAGUAUUCAAUUAAACCUGGUUUUAAUCUCAUUCAGAUAUUCAAAUAAGCUAAAUCUUUGGCUUGAUCAUUUGUGAAAUAGGCUCUUUUAUGGAUGUAAAGUGGCUUUUCACAAUGGGUAAGCUCUGAUCUCUGAUCCACACAUGUGUAACAACUAGUAGUAGCAUAAUCUGAGAAGCUAGUGACAGUAUCUGCACUGAACUGGUGUUCCACUGGGACUUCUCACUCUUCAAAACAUCAUUAGACCAGACAUGCUUGUCUUGCAUGUCUGUGCUUGAAGAUAAUGAACAAGCAGCAUUGAAAUGUGGAAUAGUAGUUCCUAGCACACCUGACCUUGACUUUCUUUUCUGAAAUACUGGAAUACAGUCGGUAAAUGUGGGCUGAUAUUUUUAGCUUUUUAGGGGAUUUUUCAUCUCACCAAUAUUUUGUAUAGCGAACUUCAAGCACUCAUUUGAAAAUUUCUGAAGGCACUACUUUUUAAAAUCAAGUCCUUCCAGACUUCUUAAACUAGGUUCUUCGCUUACACUGGAGAUUCACCAUGUCAUCAGUAAAUGUUAGCUAUAUAGACUGAAAUAAAUAUGUGAAGUAUCGGGAUGGUACUUGUUUCGGAUAAAUAAGACCAAAGAUAUGGUUACAGGUUGAACAAGGGAAAGUCACUUUUCUAGAUAUGACUUCAUUGUGUUAGGUGAAAUGCUUGUCUUUCCAGUACUACAUUCAGCAGUGACUAGAUAGGAAAGCUGUCUACAAAAGCAUGGGAAGAAACUACCUGGUUUGGUUUCUCCUUAUUUCUAGAAAAUAUGAUCUAACUCGGAGAGUGUGUUUGUGAUCAUCUCAGAAUGCUUAUUAGAUGACCUAAUCAGAUAAUAUUAUCCCGUGUUUAGUGUAAUUGAAUGGAGUCUGUUUGCUCCCCAUCCAAGAGGGUGGGCUAAGGUAUUUCACUAAGACGAAAGGCAAGUCAUGUUGUAGAGACUGUGAUUGAUAGAUGACACAGGUAGAUAGAGGGCAAAACACCUCUGAGUGUACCUCUUUCCGGCAGAUAUGACAGACAAGGGUGCUGUUACUAUUGCAUUCACUGAAGCUGAUAGGAGGUUACAUGUUCAGUGAGAGCUGGACUGAUAACAGGGCUGAAAAUAAAUAAAUAAAAUACCUCACUUGCAAAACUAAACUGAAAAUCCAUCAGAUCUCAGUUGAAGGAUGAACAGAUCAUUGCAAUGACCUAGCCUGAACCAGAUAACAGGCUAUUGCUUCAGAAAUAGUUAAUAUUAAUAUCAAUUUCCAUUUCAGCUAUACAUUUCUGUAAUUCAGUUAUUCUUAGAGAUAUCUUCUGCUCAUAAAUGGGGAACACUCCUACAUAAGCAAUAAAAAAGCAUUAAGAAAACCAAGCACCAUAAAUCCUUUUUUAGUAUACAGAGGACAGAUCCUGCAAUUUUUUUCUGUUUGUUUGUUUGCUUGUUUGUUUAGGGUUUUUUAUGAGAGUUGUUGUAUACAUUAUUUUAAAGAUUAGUUUAUAUUUUUUCUUGGUGAAAAUAGAUGUAGAGAGAUGAAAUAUGACACAAACCAGAGUAACUUCAUCAAUUAAGGUGAGAAUCCUUGCAGCUUUUUGUUCAUCUACUAUUGUGGGGAAGUCAGGAAAAGAUAAAAGAAAAUUUAAGAAAAGAAUCCUUCUUUUCCAACCUGAAUGAUUCUGUGAACUAUUUUUAUACCACAUUUCAUUUCCAUUUGGUGGACGUGGGGCGUGCUCUUCAGCAAAGAAUCCAUUUGCCAUCAAGAUUAAUGAGACUUGAUGAUGCAAGAUGAAGGAAUAGCUUUGGCACGGACAUCUCCUCACUGGUAUGGCUGAGGCACUGCAUGUGUUGCAAGUCUGAGGAGAGUUUCCUUCUCUGUAAGUUGUACCUGAUAUGGUUUUCAAAGAUUAGAAAGGUCAAGAAGCAAGUAGGCAAAUGAACAAACAAUGUAACACCUGAAUCUGUGAAAACUAUCCACAGAUAACUGUCUUCUUCCUUCCUACAGAAUCCUGGAGAAUUCCUGUUGGUCACUGCAGGUCUCCCUGGCUGGAUUAUUAGAGCUAUAUUUAAAAGUCUUCUAUCCUUGAAAAAGAAAGUUUCUUUAGUUUCAUUUGGUUGAAACACAUCCAUAUUACUUAUUGUGCUGCAACAUAUUCCAAUAAGUCAGACUUCAGAUUUUUUUCCUAUGGAAGAUCUGGAGAAGAACCAUUUUCUGGCUGACUGAAACAGCCUUUCAGAGGAAUCUGUGAAUAGAGAGCAUGUGCAGACCCUGCAGCAGUACUAUUUGGUUAUACAUGGUAACCACCACACCCACAGCCUGUCUCAUGGAAAUGGUUGCUUUUCCUCAGAAAGGUAAUCAUGAGCUGGCAACUAUGGGACAUCAGCAAUCAAUGAGACCAGCAGUGAACAUUAGUAGCACCUCUGCUGACAUCAGAAAAGAUCUCCCAGUAGAAAACUGGACCCCAAAUUCAUUCAUGUCUUUGAAUUGAAAGCUCAGAGCAGCAUCUGAAAAGGGAUCCGUAUCUUGAUUUGUGCUUAGAGAAAAAAGAGAUUCCAAAAAUGAAACAUGGUUGGUAAUUUUGAUGAUUCUAAAUGUUGCCAAGAAGAAUGUGAAUACAUGAUCUCUGCUGCAAUAAUUAUGGACAAGAAGCCUUUUUGAGUGAGGUCUAUUCAGACAAACAUCACAAAUUCCCUGACCAUCAGGAGAUGGAAUACACGCUACUAAUCUCCUGGACAACACCUCACUCACUGGGUUAGAAGUAUGGUCUUGAUGUAUCAGUUUCCUUACUCUUACCCCUCCCUUGCCUAUGCCCUUAUGUCACUAAUUUCUGAAUACACCUGUACUUUGUAAAUAUGGGUAUGUAUGUGUGUUUUUCCUAAAUGUAUCUGCAUUUGUGUAGUUCAAGAAUGUCACUAAGGUUUAAUGGCCCAGUUGAACAGUCUCUAGCCUUGCUGCUUGUCCUUAUCCCUGCAGAAAGCAAAGGAAAUAAAUGCACAAAUUUAAAAAUUGUCU